CCCAUCCUUUUUUUUUUUCACAAAUAGGACCGGUGCCCCAGCUGGUGAUGUGGAUUUCCGAAUAAACUCCUUUGUGAGGUUCUCCUGGAUAUGCUUGCAUAGGGUAGCUAACUCAGGUUCAGACAUGGCGUAUAUUCACCUUAUGGGUAUCUUCCCCACCCCCAUCUGGAGAUCAAUACAGCAAUUGUAGUCCUGGUGCAGAGAAAGCCUGGAAGUCUGAAUUACAUGAAGGAAAAGGGACUCAGGCCCAAGGGUCAACCAGCAGGCUGAUGGCAGAGAUAGGGAUGGAAUUCAGCUAUCCUCAGCAAAUCUAGGUUCGUUGACAAGUUACAUCAUCAAGAGGAGGAAAAUCUGCACUGGGGAUUGUUGAAGAAUCAUAAACUAGAAUGUGGUGAAGAAGUAUGGAGAUGGAGCAUUAAGAAGUACUUCAGAAUAGUGGUGUAUAAAUUCUGUAUGACUUAACAGCUGUACAGGUAGAGAAAACCCAGCAUGACAUGGGCUGAUUUAAGAAAACUUGAAGGCAGAAUUAAUCAUUGAUGUGGCUAUUUCUGGAGAUGAAAGACAUUUUGAGAGAGAGGAAAAUGUGAAAAAUAUAAAUUGAGUGACUGUGCCAUAAAAUAAGACUUCUCUUGGUAAUUUAGCAGUAAAAAUAAAAUGUUGCCAACUUCAGCAUCUAGCAAGAAUGUGUUGGACACAGACAUUGUCUGGAUUUACAUAGUAUACUUGCCAAGUCUGCCAUUCUUGGAAACUACUCCUGAGUUCCUGUAUCUCUUAAGGGAGUUCACGGUUCAUUGGUUUCUCCCAGUAAAGUUGACAGUACCAAUGACUCAAAAUAUCAUUUGCAUAUAUAAAGGAAAUGAUAGUAUGCAAAACACAUUAGACCCUGUAUUCUCAAGACCACUUAGGUGAACUACCAUCAACAUAAAAGUUGUAAGAACAAUAAUAAUAAAAAAUAACAAAUAAUAAAAGAAGAAAGAUAAGAACAGGGGAAGGAUGUGAGAAAGUAAAGGACUAGAAAGAGAAAACUGACUGGAGAAAUGAGGAAUUGGACGUGGUAUCUUCAAGAGGUAUGGCAUACAUAAUAUGGGGGAAAACAGACAGUCCAAUCAGAGAAAGUUAGGAAAAUGUUUUGAAAUACUGGAGAUAUGAAGUACAGUGUUUCAUCUGAAAGAAGCUGCCAGGAAAAGGAUUGCCCAUACCUGAAAUUGUUAGUCUAUGUGAAGCAGACUUGGCAGGAGUGUAUAGACAAAGAAACUGCAUGCAGCUUCUAAGGCAUCUGACAUAGACGUAACAGAUGCAUAUCUGAAAAAAGCAUGCUUCAAGGGCCUUAAGUGGCAGAGCUGAAAUCUGGACAUAUUCACUGUCAGGAAAUAACUUGGAUGGUAGAAAAUACCCAAAAGGCCAGAUUCUGAUCUCAGUUUUCUGGUGCAAUUAUGCACAUUUCAUACACAACAGCGACAUUUUCGCUUCAUCACUGUUCUGUUUAGCUAAUGAUUCUUUCUGUUCAGGAGUGAGUGAAGACCCCUAGUAGCUCAGCGGUAGUUAGGUAAUAUUUUGUGAAUACAUAGACUGGGUAAACAAUAUCUUUUUAUGAAGGAUGCUGGGCAAAGGCUUUUGAAGUGAUAGAAAGCUGUAGCCUUUGCCCCUUUAUCAGCUAUUACAAGCUAAAUAAGGAUAACUUGGUCAAUAUAUUGAUGAGAAAUCUCCAAAGAGAAUCCUGGCUACUGUAGAACGAGUAGGAGACGGAGCACACAGCAAACAAACACUGUCUAUUUGAACUGAUGAGCACAUUAGAAUAUACCAGAGCUGUCACCUUUUGCAUGUAAAAUAGAGGGACCUUGAGUUCUGGGUGAUAUGAUUCAUGUUUGUUUAUCCUCGGGCAACUCAAAUUUCCUGCUGGCAACCUAGACUGUAAGAACAUAUUGGCUAUGCAGGGAGCAUACAUGCUCUAAUGACUGUUUCUGAAGACAAAGAACUGAACAUUCUGAAACAGCAAGCCCACUUCUUUGGAGAGCUGACAUUGUAAAUAUGUUAUAAUGAUGAGGUAACUGGAAAAGGACAGGAGCUCUAGAGGGAGACAUUAGAAAGUCUCCUCAAGGUAGCACUGGCCAUAGGGAGUCAGCCCUGACUUCACAAAUAAGAACUGAAUACAUGUACUUUAUUAGUUAAUGAAAAAAUAUAUAUAAGUGAUAGCAUUUUAGCUAUUUGCAUUUAUUUUUAAAGGUCCUUUGGUGGCCACAUACUUUGGUGCUACAUUUAUAUUUAAUGAGAUCGUAUGAAAGGCCUAGGAUAAGAAGAGCUCCUGUGGUGUAGACAGGGCUGUGACUGAAUUUGUGACAUAUUUGUUUAAUCCACUACUUCUAUUGCUAGGCUAAUAUUGUCCUGACUUCUCCAUGUAGCAUAUAACUCAGGUUACACCUUGCACAUGUGGGAUACAGAUUAUCCCAUUCAACAGUUCCUUUCCCCACUGGAAGCUAGCCUAGUGUUACCAAAAAACACUUCCCAUCAACUAUGCAGACAAUGGCUCAGCUCCAGAAUUUUCCACUUUCUGCCUUAUCUCAUUCCUGGGAGUGGAAGAGCACUUGGGCUUUCCUCUUCCUCAUCUUGUCUAUAAUCUAUGAGGUCCUUUAUCACCGGUGUAACUCCACAGGAUGCUAGGCUAUUCAUUCAACAUGCAUACUGCUUUUGAAGACUUGGAGAUUUUAGAGUCCUGUCUAAUCUUUAUGUAUGAUAUUUAUGCUUUCAGUGAUAGAGAGUUAAGUUACGAUGGUAUUGCCUUCACAUGAGAGUGUGCACCUGAGAAGUUACUAUGAAGUAGUUGAUGUUCAAUAAAUCUUUGUCCUCCUUUUGCCUCGUGGGAUAAAGGACUGGAAAGGACUCCCUGGGUCACUGAGUCAUCUCCUAGCAGAAGCACCUAUGCCAUUAUAAUACCACCAGUCAAAG